UAAGAGUUAGUUUAAAAAAGAAUUGUUGAUUGUUGAUCAGAAGGUUUGUCUCUUAA
rnacentral:tRNA from 1 species